AUUGGGCGUAAAGGGCGCGUAGGCGGAAUAGAAAGUUAAAUGUGAAAUCUCGAAGCUUAACUUCGAGCCCGCAUUUAAUACUACUAAUCUAGAGGAUGGAUGGAGAAAAUGGAAUUCCACGUGUAGCGGUGAAAUGCGUAGAUAUGUGGAAGAACACCGGUGGCGAAGGCGAUUUUCUAAUUUAUUCCUGACGCUGAGGCGCGAAAGCAAGGGGAGCAAACAGGAUUAGAUACCCUGGUAGUCCUUGCCGUAAACGAUGUACACUUGAUGUAAUUGGAUUCAACCCCAAUUGUGUCGUAGCUAACGCGUUAAGUGUACCGCCUGAGGAGUACGCUCGCAAGGGUGAAACUCAAAAGAAUUGACGGGGGCCCGCACAAGCAGUGGAGCAUGUGGUUUAAUUCGAUGCAACGCGAAGAACCUUACCCAGACUUGACAUGUAUUAGACAGUGGCAGAGAUGUCAUCUUCCGAAAGGACUGAUACACAGGUGCUGCAUGGCU
rnacentral:rRNA from 1 species